ensembl:lncRNA
GCGGGUCUAGCAGACAGAUGCUAUUCUUGGUCCUGUCAACACAUUUCACUGAACUAAAAUGACAGUCACAGCUGUGACUCAUUACAAGAAAAUGGCCUAAAUAUAAAAUUAAGGUUGGGUCAAAAAAGCCACAAGAGUUAAAAAGAGGCUGAGAUUAACAGCAUGACUGGGAACAGGUCUAGGCUUGGUGAAACAUAUGAGAUACUGCUGUUGCUUUCCCCAUCUUCCAGAUAAGUAUAGCACAAGGCUUUCCGAGAAAAGACUUCCCUUCAAGGAGCCAGCCUGCCAGCCCUCAGUACGCGUCUUCAAGCACCUGCAGACUGAGUUCGUGGAUGUGCCAUGCACAGCACAGAAACAGAUUAAAUUAUGGCAGAAAGAGAGUAGAGGGAUGGAAAUGGAGAUUCUGGGUGCAGCCAUCUUCUGUAGGCUCCCUUUUCACAUGAAGAUGUCUCUGUAGCUCGUUGCCUGACGGUCUCAUUGUCAACGCCCUCAGCAGGGUCUAGAGGACUCACUCCACCUGCCAGAAGAUGGCUUUCCCUAUGAGCUGUGCAUUUUCCUGAGAAGUUACUUGGAUUUCAGGAGGUGGAUACUACCAUAAAAGGAUGACAUGUAUGGACUAAUGGGCCUAUCCUUCAGAAGGAGGAAAAUAUAUCGUUCCAGUGCUGGAAGCCGUGCUUGGUAUUUGCUUCUAAGAAACAAGCAGUUGCGCAUAAAAUAUACUCAUGGAGACAUAGAAGACAAGGAGCAUUAAUCCUUUGGGCACAUCCUAAUAUGGGUGAUUACUUUUAGCUUAACUAGAUCCCUUUUAGUGUUUGGAGUGAAAGUAGUGCCAAGUAAAACUCCCCAUUUUAUUUGCUAGUUGUGAGUGACUUCUCACUUUUGCCAUUCAGGAAGGUCCAUUACAUCAGGCCUGACAGAUUAAGGAAGAACUCCCCUCUAUUCCUCCUUCCCCAUGAAAGAAAAAGCCAUUUAUUAAUGAUGUGCUGGCUCAAAUGGAGACAGACUCUGAAAGAUCUAUACCAAACACAUUGGCUUUAAGCCAGCAUUUCCUUUAUCCUGAAACCUCUGUGAAGCCAAGGACAUACGCCAGCUCUCUAUGUGAGGACAGAUCUUAUGCCUCCACUCACACGUGUGCUGGGAAUCUAGGAACUGUGCUUCAUCUCAUGAUGCCAGCCAUGACUAGUACAAGUUCAGAAGCUUCACAAAUCAUGUUAUUUCAGUCCUUGCUCCUAGCCAGCCUGCUCCCAUGAUACAGCAAAUCUCAUUCCUCUGCCCAAAGCAAAGAGAAAGCAGAAGACUCAGGGUGGUGGAAGAAACGUUAAUCUCUGAAGAUAAUGAAUGAAGAAGUAGAGUGAGAAGCAAAGGGGAAGGACAUGUUUGGGCCCAAAUUCUUGAUUCAUGGAGCAGGAGAGCUGCUGCAGUCCUGAAAAGUUUUGAUUCCUGAAGCUCCAGACAGUUACUAGCCCAAGGGGAAGGCAGGGUUGCCAGAGGGGGAGACCUGGCAGCUUGCUUGGGCUUUCUCAUGUCU